rnacentral:rRNA from 1 species
UACGAAGGGGCUAGCGUUGCUCGGAAUCACUGGCGUAAAGCGCACGUAGGCGGAUUGUUAAGUCAGGGGUGAAAUCCUGGAGCUCAACUCCAGAACUGCCUUUGAUACUGGCGAUCUUGAGUCCGGGAGAGGUGAGUGGAACUGCGAGUGUAGAGGUGAAAUUCGUAGAUAUUCGCAAGAACACCAGUGGCGAAGGCGGCUCACUGGCCCGGUACUGACGCUGAGGUGCGAAAGCGUGGGGAGCAACAGG